GUCCACGCCCUAAACGAUGUUUACUUGCUGUUUGUCUUUAGGGAUGAGUGGCGAAGCGAAAGCGAUAAGUAAACCACCUGGGGAGUACGCCCGCAAGGGUGAAACUCAAAGGAAUUGACGGGGUCGCACAAGCGGUGGAGCAUGUGGUUUAAUUCGAUGAUACGCGAGGAACCUUACCUAGGUUAGAAUGUGAGAGACGGGUGAUGAAAGUCACUUUCCGCAAGGGCUCGAACAAGGUGCUGCAUGGCUGUCGU
rnacentral:rRNA from 1 species